AGAGAGAGAAAGCUAUACACUGAAACAAAAGUGGAAAUAAGGGAUUUUUCUGUUCUGCCCGUCACUGAGCCAGUUUAUAUGACAACCACUUAAGAUGUCCGCAACAGCUAUUAUUGUAGGGCUAAACGUCUUUAGUUCAACAGAGAAUGAUCAGGUGAUGAGCAGCCGAAAUACUUCGGUGUCUAAUUCGGGAAGUAAGUUAUGGAAUUAUGACAGAGUUGGAAAAUUGCAUGAACGAAAAACCAAAACAGUAAACCCACACACCUGAAAGACUGAUCUUCCUAUCAAAUAUAUUAAUAUUGUACAAUUUAACUUCUUCAAAGAGUAUACCAUUUCUUUCUCUUCGUAAGCCUGAUCUCUAGAUAUACUUCUUUCACUUCUCUUUCUCUCUUCCUCACUAUCUAUUUCAUUCUUUAUAUAUAUAUAUAUAUAUAUA